rnacentral:rRNA from 1 species
ACGAAGGUCUUCGGAUUGUAAACCUCUUUACAUGGGACGAAAUUCCGCAAGGGUCUGACGGUACCAUGCGAAUAAGCAACGGCUAACUAUGUGC